rnacentral:rRNA from 1 species
UACAGAGGGUGCAAGCGUUAAUCGGAAUUACUGGGCGUAAAGGGCGCGUAGGCGGAGUAUUAAGUUAGAUGUGAAAUCCCUGGGCUUAACCUGGGAAUGGCAUUUAAUACUGAUAAUCUAGAGUAGAGUAGAGGGAAGUGGAAUUUCCGGUGUAGCGGUGAAAUGCGUAGAGAUCGGAAAGAACACCAGUGGCGAAGGCGGCUUCCUGGACUCAUACUGACGCUGAGGCGCGAAAGUUUGGGGAGCAAACAGG